rnacentral:rRNA from 1 species
CGUGAAUCCGGGCUUGCGAAUUCAGGACCGAUCGGCGUCGUCCUUCGGGGCGAACGCGCGGAUCGGUUUGAUGUUUCGUCGGCCACCUUCGUCGGACGUCGCGACCCGUUUGGCGCUGAUCGAAGGAUCGAAGUGACAGUUCGCGUCGUGUUUCCGCGGCGUGUAAGCGUCGCGGCGGACGAGGCGAGCCUUCGAUUCCGAGUCAGCUCGCUCGACGGUAUGACGGUGGUGUCCGAGGUUGUUCGUUCGCGAUAAUACCUCGGUGCCGGUCUGCGACGAUUCUUCGGGCCUCUUUCCGACCCGUCUUGAAACACGGACCAAGGAGUCUAACGUGUGCGCGAGUCGCGGGGUGUCGUCGGCGGCGCGUUUCGAACCUUCGGGCGAGAGGCGACGGUCGCCGACGUUAUUCAAACGAAACCCGACGAAGGCGUAAUGAAAGUGAAUUUGGGAGGACGGCGUCUCGAGUACACCUUCUCGGCGAUUUAAGCGGAGACCGAGCGCCCGCACUCCCGGGGCGUCCCAUCAAGUCCGGUCGGUACGCUCGACGACGGCGUUUUUUUCGUCGUCGUCGGUUGCCGCCGAACUGGGGCGCACUCUGAGCGUACACGUUGGUACCCGAAAGAUGGUGAACUAUGCCCGGCCAGGAUGAAGUCAGGGGAAACCCUGAUGGAGGUCCGCAGCGAUUCUGACGUGCAAAUCGAUCGUCUGAGCUGGGUAU